AUGUACAAUACAUAUAGUAAUGAAAACGAUAAUAAUAAUAAUAACAAUAAUAAUAAUAAUAACAAUAAUAAUAAUAAUAAUAAUACCAGCAGUUUAUCUUAUUCUUAUAUAAAAGAAAACAGCAAAUUCGAAAACAAAAUAAAUGAUAGCAGUAAUGUGGUUAUUUUUCGUAAAACAGAAAACGACAGUAAAGCUAAUUUUAACUUCCAAGAUAAUAAGUUAAUUUAUAACGAAAAUAUAAUAAAUGAAAAAAAUAUAAACACAUGUUCAAUGUCAGAUAUGGUAAUUAACAAUUAUAAUAGUAGUGAGGGUAAUAUUAAUAGAAGCAGUGUCUUUAGGAGCAGUAGUAAUAACAAUCAUAGCAACGGGAAUAAUAACAACGACGGGGAUAGCAACCGAAAUAACAACGAUGAGGAUAGCAACCGAAAUAAAAACGAUGAGGAUAGCAACCAAAAUAACAAUUUUAAUAAAAGAAAAAAUAGUUGUUCAUACAAUAUAACAAAUAAAAAAACAAAAAUGAUUUCUUCUGAAGAGAACAUUAGUAGUUGUUACAAUAACAAUUCAUGGAAUACUCCAAUAUGUGUUAUACCUAUACAAAAUAAUAGUAACAAAGUAAAUUAUGUGAAAAAAAUACGAAGUAUGGAUGACCUGAGGUUUGAUUAUAUACCUACUCAUAGUAGUAAUAGUAGUAGUAGUAUUAACAUAAAUAAAGCGAAUAGUUGUCCUAAUAUAACUAAAGUGAAUAAUUGUAAUUAUAUAAAGACUGUUAAUAAUAGUAAUUAUUACCCAUUUGUUUAUAUGACAAAUCCAAACAAUUAUAAUAAGGAUACUAAUUAUAAUUAUGACCAGAAUAACAUUAAUAUUAAUAGUAGCAAUAACAACAUACACAGUAGUAAUAGUAACAUACAUAGUAGUACUGAUAACAUACACAGUAGUACUAAUAACAUACACAGUAGUACUAAUAACAUACACAGUAAUAAUGACAACAUACACAGUAAUAAUGACAACAUACACAGUAAUAAUGUUUUAACAUUUGAUAGAAAUAUGAUAAAAAACAAUUGUAAUUUUAUUAAAAAUACAAAUUUUUUGGAUAACAACUCAAAUAAUAUCAAUAAUUCAGAAAAGGAUGGUUUAUAUUUUAUGGAAACAAAAAAUUAUGAAAUAAAUAAUAUGGAUGAACAGAAUAAUUAUAACAAUACAUUUGUUGAUUCUAACCUUAACGUUAAUAAUGAUUAUCCAAAUAGUACUAGUACUACUACAAAUAGUAGUAUUAGUAGUAGUUAUAAUAAUGAUUAUAACAAUGUAAGUAGUUGUAUAAAUACUAUGAAUAAAAACAUAGCAUCAACAAAUGAAGAUACACAUACAAACAUAAAUGUACCGGGAAAAAAAAAGGUAGACCUGAUACUGAUACUUCAUUACCAAUUGCUAAUAUAA
rnacentral:lncRNA from 1 species